AUUGGUGGGGUAGCUAUGUUCGGGUUCACUGACAUCCUUGUGGUUGGACUCGUUCUUCAGGCUUCCUGCUACGCGGGUGAAACUUCUUAGAGAGACAAACUGCGUUAUCAGUACGAAAUUGAGCAAUAACAGGUCUGUGAUGCCCUUAGAUGUCCGGGGCCGCACGCGCGCUACAAUGACGGUACCAACGAGUAUGACCUCCUGGCCCGAGAGGGUUAGGCAAACUGGUCCAUGACCGUCGUGACAGGGAUCGGGGUUUGUAAUUAUCCCCCGUGAACGAGGAAUUCCCAGUAAGUGCAAGUCAUAAGCUUGUGCUGAUUACGUCCCUGCCCUUUGUACACACCGCCCGUCGCUACUACCGAUUGAAUGGUUUGGCAAGGCCUUCGGAUUGGUGCCAUUGUAACGGCUUGCCGUUCGACAGGUGUCUGAAAAGAGGACCAAACCGUGAUCA
rnacentral:rRNA from 1 species